rnacentral:rRNA from 1 species
UGAAAUUUCGGGGCUCAACCCCGGAACUGCAGUGGGUACGGGCAGACUAGAGUGUGGCAGAGGAGACUGGAAUUCCUGGUGUAGCGGUGGAAUGCGCAGAUAUCAGGAGGAACACCAGUGGCGAAGGCGGGUCUCUGGGCCGCAACUGACGCUGAGGAGCGAAAGCGUGGGGAGCGAACAGGAUUAGAUACCCUGGUAGUCCACGCCGUAAACGUUGGGCGCUAGGUGUGGGGCCCUUUCCACGGGCUCCGCGCCGCAGCUAACGCAUUAAGCGCCCCGCCUGGGGAGUACGGCCGCAAGGCUAAAACUCAAAGGAAUUGACGGGGCCCCGCACAAGCGGCGGAGCAUGCUGAUUAAUUCGAUGCAACGCGAAGAACCUUACCAAGGCUUGACAUAUACCGAAAACUGCUGGAGACAGCAGGUCCGCAAGGGCGGUAUACAGGUGGUGCAUGGUUGUCGUCAGCUCGUGUCGUGAGAUGUUGGGUUAAGUCCCGCAACGAGCGCAACCCCUGCCUUCAGUUGCCAUCGGGUGAAGCCGGGCACUCUGGAGGGACUGCCGGUGUCAAACCGGAGGAAGGUGGAGACGACGUCAAGUCCUCAUGGCCCUUAUGUCCGGGGCUACACACGUGCUACAAUGGCCGGCACAAAGGGCAGCGAUCCCGCAAGGGGGAGCCAAUCCCAAAAAGCCGGUCCCAGUUCGGAUCGGAGUCUGCAAC